AUUGUGUCUGAAGGGCACUUGGGCUCUUUGGUUUGAAGUGUGGAGCCAGAGGAGUUCAGAGCUGACAUUUCUGGGGGCAGACAGCACAGGAAAGGACUGGGCACAGGCUGAGGGUGACAGCAAAGCUGCUCUCAGGAAAGCUGCUGGGUGCUUUAAUUUGCUUAGUGGCCUUAUGUGCCCUGCAGGGUUCUCUGGGGGAGCAGAGAACCCACAGAGAGGGAAGGGAGCAGCAAUCACAGACCUUCCCUUGUGCUGCACUGGGAAUCUGCAGUCCCAGAUUCAAUAACAGCAGGCAAUACACUGCUGAAAGAGAUGGGAAAUACAAAAAAACCCUGGCUUUAUUUGGUGAUUCAUGGCAUUUACUCAUGGAGUGUGUAUUGUAGGCCUGUGCUGGAGAAUUUAAAGAACAGACAAAACUUCACUCACUCCAGUUUCUACAACUUGUUCUGAUGCAAGACAGUAUAAGCAGUGCCUCUAGUUAUCAUCCUUAUUAUUGAUGAAAAGGUUCCCUUUCUUGUGCCUCCUGAAGAACAUCCCUUCUUGCCCUCUACCAUGGGCAGCUGUGAGACAGAACAAUUCCCCUGGAGCUCCUGAGCCCACCCUCCCCUCACCUGGCACAGCUGAGGCCAGAGCAGCUGUGCCUGCCUGGAUCAGCACCUCCCCUCCUUCUCUGAAGGUACCUGGAACAGCUUCAAGCUGAAGUGUGGGUUUCUUGUCACUCUGUGAAAUAUUUUCGUUUACAGUAUUGCAGCCUAUAACUUUAAAAAUGUAGUUCAUAUGCAAGGAAAGGUAGUGGUGGAAACAAAUAUACUCCCUGCUUUGAAACAUGAAGAGAUGGAAUUAAAAGUUGUCACUUUCCAGAGCAAGACAGAAUGGAUUUCUACCCCUUGGCCUUCUGAAAGCAUACAGAGGCAGGGGAAAUGAGUCUGUAGUUGCAAGAACAAAGAGCCAUAACAUUCUUAACCUUCUGGAAACUGUUAGAAAAAAUUCAACAUGACCUCUGCCUGGGUGGGACACAAGACUCCACAGGGAAGUCUUGUUGCAGCUGUCUUGUCUUCUGGUGCUGCUGAGGACUGCUGGGCAACUGGUUUGAAAACUCAGCCUGUGUAGAGUACGUGAAACUGUUGUCAAAUAACUUUUCAGGAGAAACUAAUCCAGAGUAAGUGAGGAAGAGAGCUCUGGUGUUGAAGGUCUCGUGUAGUCAUGUACCUUUUACAGCCAGACAACAACAGAGGGCAACAGAUCGC